CCUACGGGUGACAGCAGUAGGGAAUCUUUCACAAUGGGCGAAAGCCUGAUGGAGCAACGCCGCGUGAAGGAUGAAGGCUUUCGGGAUGUAAACUGCUUUUAUCAGCGAGAAAUAUGAUGGUAACUUAUGAAUAAGGAUCGGCUAACAACGUGCCAGCAGCCGCGGUCAUACGUAGGAUCCGAGCAUUAACCGGUGUGAAUGGGUGUAAAGAGUUGCGUAGGUGGCAUAAUAAGUAGCUAGUGAAAUCUGGUGGCUCAACCAUUCAGACUAUUAUCGAAACUGUUAAGCUCGAGACCGUUAGAGGUAACUGGAAUUUCUAGUGUAGGAGUGAAAUCCGUAGAUAUUAGAAGGAACACCAAUAGCGUAGGCAGGUUACUGGGACGGUUCUGACACUAAGGCACGAAAGCGUAGGGAGCAAACGGGAUUAGAUACCCUUGUAGUC
rnacentral:rRNA from 1 species